UACAGAGGGGUGCAAGCGUUAAUCGGAAUUACUGGGCGUAAAGCGUGCGUAGACGGUUAUUUAAGUCAGGUGUGAAAGCCCAGGGCUCAACCUUGGAAAUUCGCAUUUGAGACUGAAUAGCUAGGGUGCGGAAGAGGGAAGCGGAAUUUCCGGUGUAGCGGUGAAAUGCGUAGAGUAUACGGAAGGAACACCAGUGGCGAAAGCG
rnacentral:rRNA from 1 species